rnacentral:rRNA from 1 species
AGCGAACGCUGGCGGCGUGCUUAACACAUGCAAGUCGAACGAAGGCUUCGGCCUUAAUGGUGGACGGGUGAGUAACGCGUGGGAAUCUACCUUACGGCGGGGAAUAACAGCGGGAAACUGCUGCUAAUACCGCAUACGCUCUACGGAGGAAAGGCUUCGGCCACCGUUUGAGGAUCCCGCGUCCGAUUAGCUAGUUGGUGAGGUAACGGCUCACCAAGGCGACGAUCGGUAGCUGGUCUGAGAGGAUGAUCAGCCACACUGGGACUGAGACACGGCCCAGACUCCUACGGGAGGCAGCAGUGGGGAAUAUUGGACAAUGGGGGAAACCCUGAUCCAGCGACGCCGCGUGAAUGAUGAAGGCCUUAGGGUUGUAAAGUUCUUUCGUCCGUGACGAUGAUGACAGUAGCGGAAGAAGAAGCUCCGGCUAACUUCGUGCCAGCAGCCGCCGUAA